GGAUUUAGCUCAGUGGUAGAGCGCUUGCCUAGCAAGCACAAGGCCCUGGGUUCGAUCCCCAGCUCCG
rfam:Rattus norvegicus chromosome 19, whole genome shotgun sequence.